rnacentral:misc_RNA from 1 species
AUACCAAUAAGUCGCCUGACAGGCCAGCCAAUCGUCAUCAAAAGGCAUUCUCAGUGGGCGUGAAUCUGGUGUUAUGGACAUUGCUCAGUAUUCAUUACCAUGGGUAAUUGACUAAUUGUCUCGUUACAGAUUGUGUAACUUGCGUGUAAAAUCAGUGAAUGGCACUGAGAGCUAAGUGACUGUACCUCGACAAUACUGUUUUGUUAGUCAGCCUCUGGAGCUCUGGCGUACUGCUGUACUACAGCCUAGAAGUAGUUCUGGCUGAUUGUGGAGCAAGGUGCUACAGGGAUGGCAGAGGAAGCAGUGUUUGAUUUGGUACAUAUGGAGGCGGUAUCCUACGUGUUUCAAGGCGACAAAAUAUCUGAGGAUGAAGCUGUUGCAAAACUGGAACACAUGGGGUUUGCUACAGGCUACAGACUUGUUGAAAGAUUGACAAGGGAAUCAGGACGCUUUAAGGAUGAGUUGGACAUCAUGAAGUAUAUUUGCAAGGACCUCUGGGUUACUGUCUACAAGAAACAGAUUGAUAACUUAAGGACAAAUCACCAAGGUGUUUAUGUUCUACAUGACAACCGAUUCAGGUUUCUGUCACGUAUGGCAGCAGGAAAGCAGUACCUUCAGUAUGCACCAAGGUAUCUGGCCUUCACAUGUGGGUUAGUUCGAGGCUGCCUUGCCAACCUGGGCAUCACGUGUGUGGUCACAGCUGAAGUGACUCAGCUUCCUGCAUGCAAGUUUCAAAUACAAGUUCAGCGGGGGUAAAUGGCACAGCUGCUUUUCCUCAUUGACCUCACGUUUUAGGGAGGAUUCCUGAAAAUGCAGACAUAGCUCAUCUGGGUGACGGUGCCUCAUUCGUAUGUGCAGAUUCCUGGUGAUGAGACUUCUUGGUGUGGCGAGUGCUGAGCCUCUCCAGCCAGCAUCAUGCUUCAUCUAUUGUUACAGUAAAAUAUCUUGUAAUGAACGUAGUGUGUUAGACUCGUGGACUGAUAGUGUUGUCUGUUAACGAGCAUCAAUGUUUAAGUCAAAAGACUCUACCGAAAUAAACAUUUAUUUUA